rnacentral:misc_RNA from 1 species
GAUGAAGAACGCAGCGAAAUGCGAUAAGUAGUGUGAAUUGCAGAAUUCAGUGAAUCAUCGAAUCUUUGAACGCACAUUGCGCCCUUUGGCAUUCCUUAGGGCAUGCCUGUUCGAGCGUCAUUUAAACCUUCAAGCUAAGCUUGGUGUUGGGUGACUGUCCGCUUCACGGCGGACUCGCCUCAAAAUUAUUGGCGGCCGGUACAUUGGCUUCGAGCGCAGCAGAAACGCGAACUCGGGCCCGUCGUAUUGGCUCCCAGAAGCUAUCUUCACAAUUUUGACCUCGGAUCAGGUAGGGAUACCCGCUGAACUUAAGCAUAUCAAUAAGCGGAGGA